rnacentral:rRNA from 1 species
GACGAACGCUGGCGGCGUGCCUAAUACAUGCAAGUUGAGCGCUGAAGGUUGGUACUUGUACCAACUGGAUGAGCAGCGAACGGGUGGGUAACGCGUGGGGAAUCUGCCUUUGAGCGGGGGACAACAUUUGGAAACGAAUGCUAAUACCGCAUAAAAACUUUAAACACAAGUUUUAAGUUUGAAAGAUGCAAUUGCAUCACUCAAAGAUGAUCCCGCGUUGUAUUAGCUAGUUGGUGAGGUAAAGGCUCACCAAGGCGAUGAUACAUAGCCGACCUGAGAGGGUGAUCGGCCACAUUGGGACUGAGACACGGCCCAAACUCCUCCGGGAGGCAGCAGUAGGGAAUCUUCGGCAAUGGACGAAAGUCUGACCGAGCAACGCCGCGUGAGUGAAGAAGGUUUUCGGAUCGUAAAACUCUGUUGGUAGAGAAGAACGUUGGUGAGAGUGGAAAGCUCAUCAAGUGACGGUAACUACCCAGAAAGGGACGGCUAACUACGUG